AGCGAACGCUGGCGGCAGGCCUAACACAUGCAAGUCGAACGAUCCUUCGGGAUAGUGGCGGACGGGUGAGUAACACGUGGGAACGUGCCCUUUGGUUCGGAACAACUCAGGGAAACUUGAGCUAAUACCGAAUGUGCCCUUCGGGGGAAAGAUUUAUCGCCAUUGGAGCGGCCCGCGUCUGAUUAGCUAGUUGGCGAGGUAACGGCUCACCAAGGCGACGAUCAGUAGCUGGUCUGAGAGGAUGAUCAGCCACAUUGGGACUGAGACACGGCCCAAACUCCUACGGGAGGCAGCAGUGGGGAAUCUUGCGCAAUGGGCGAAAGCCUGACGCAGCCAUGCCGCGUGAAUGAUGAAGGUCUUAGGAUUGUAAAAUUCUUUCACCGGGGACGAUAAUGACGGUACCUGGAGAAGAAGCUCCGGCUAACUUCGUGCCAGCCGCCGCUGUAAUAC
rnacentral:rRNA from 1 species